AUACGGAGGAUGCGAGCGUUAUCCGGAUUUAUUGGGUUUAAAGGGUGCGUAGGCUGUGCGUUAAGUCAGGGGUGAAAUGCCGUCGCUCAACGACGGAGCUGCCCUUGAUACUGGCGUGCUGGAGUACGGAUGCCGUUGGAGGAAUGAGUGGUGUAGCGGUGAAAUGCUUAGAUAUCACUCAGAACACCGAUUGCGAAGGCAUCUGACGAAUCCGUCACGGACGCUGAGGCACGAAAGCGUGGGGAUAGAACAGGAUUAGAUACCCUGGUAUUCCACGCCGUAAACGAUGAUGACUAACCGUCGGCGAUAGACAGCCGGUGGCCAAGCGAAAGCGAUAAGUCAUCCACCUGGGAAGUACGUCGGCAACGAUGAAACUCAAAUGAAUUGGCGGGG
rnacentral:rRNA from 1 species